UGCUCUGCUUCACGAAAACAAACAACAAAUGAAACCUCUCUCACUCUAUCGAUUCAGAUUCUCUCUUCUGCGUACUCUCUCAAUCGUUUCUAUUUCUCUCUGCUUCUCACCAUUCUCGCCGCUUCGUUCAUCAUCCAUUUGAACAACACAAACAAUAACACUCAAGCAAAAUAACCUAAGCCCCAAAUCGAUUUCACUAUGCUCAUGGGGUUACAGUUUACAAGUUACAUGGUGAAAUUUGAAAGUAACAAUUACAAAUCAACGAAAAUACGACUUGAAUACCUCAGGAAAUCCAAGAGUAACUCCUGAAGUGACAAGAGAUGUUUGCCUAUUGGCUAGAAUGAUGGCUGCUAAUUUGUAUUACUCCCAGAUUGAGGAUCUUAUGUUUGAACUGUCAAUAUGGCGCUGCAAUGAUGAGCUACGUGUUCGUGCAGAAGAACUUAACAGGUCUUCUAAGAAAGAUGCAGUUGCAAAACACUACAUAGG